GGGUUGUAAAGCACUUUUGGCAGGAAAGAAAUGGCUCUGGUUAAUACCUGGGGCAGAUGACGGUACCUGCAGAAUAAGCACCGGCUAACUACGUGCCAGCAGCCGCGGUAAUACGUAGGGUGCAAGCGUUAAUCGGAAUUACUGGGCGUAAAGCGUGCGCAGGCGGUUCGGAAAGAAAGGUGUGAAAUCCCCGGGCUUAACCUGGGAACGGCACUUUUAACUACCGGGCUAGAGUGUGUCAGAGGGAGGUGGAAUUCCGCGUGUAGCAGUGAAAUGCGUAGAGAUGCGGAGGAACACCGAUGGCGAAGGCAGCCUCCUGGGAUAACACUGACGCUCAUGCACGAAAGCGUGGGAGCAAACAGGAUUAGAUACCCUGGUAGUCCACGCCCUAAACGAUGUCAACUAGCUGUUGGGGGCUUCGGCUCUUGGUAGCGCAGCUAACGCGUGAAGUUGACCGCCUGGGGAGUACGGUCGCAAGAUUA
rnacentral:rRNA from 1 species